rnacentral:rRNA from 1 species
AUGGCGACCGGCGCACGGGUGAGUAACACGUAUCCAACCUGCCGUCUACUCUUGGACAGCCUUCUGAAAGAAAGAUUAAUACCCGAUGGCAUAGUUCUUCCGCAUGGUGGAACUAUUAAAGAAUUUCGGUCAUCGAUGGGGAUGCGUUCCAUUAGGCAGUUGGUGGGGUAACGGCCCACCAAACCUUCGAUGGAUAGGGGUUCUGAGAGGAAGGUCCCCCACAUUGGAACUGAGACACGGUCCAAACUCCUACGGGAGGCAGCAUG